GGACGGGUCUCGUAUUGGGCAGGUCUGUGUGGGUCUACAUUCCGCAUCGGGGUACUUUCACUUUGAAUUCACCAAUUAUCUGAGUUGUAGGCUUAGGGGCCAAGCAGGUUUUCAUAACAGUUCCACAAAUUAAAACCAGCAGUUAAAUCCUCCUAUGUCCUACCUCCUCUAUUCUAAAAUAUUUCCUUCUUGGUGAUUCCUGUGUCAUCGUACAGCUUCCUCUCGGUCACCCCCUC